rnacentral:rRNA from 1 species
GAUGAAUGCUGGCGGCGUGCCUAACACAUGCAAGUCGAGCGGCAGCGCGGUCUUCGGACUGGCGGCGAGCGGCGGACGGCUGAGUAACGCGUGGGAACAUGCCCCAAAGUGAGGGAUAACCGCCCGAAAGGGUGGCUAAUACCGCAUACGAUCUUCGGAUUAAAGGAUUUAUCCGCCUUGGGAGUGGCCUGCGUACGAUUAGAUUGUUGGUGAGGUAAUGGCUCACCAAGUCGGCGAUCGUUAACUGGUCUGAGAGGAUGAUCAGUCAGACUGGAACUGAGACACGGUCCAGACUCCUACGGGAGGCAGCAGUGAGGAAUCUUCCACAAUGGGCGAAAGCCUGAUGGAGCAACGCCGCGUGCAGGAUGAAGGCCUUCGGGUCGUAAACUGCUUUUAUAAGUGAAGAAUAUGACGGUAACUUAUGAAUAAGCACCGGCUAACUACGUGCCAGCCGCCGCCGUA